CAGCAGCAGCCGCGGGAAAACGGAGGGAGCUAGCGUUGUUCGGAAUUACUGGGCGUAAAGCGCACGUAGGCGGCUUUGUAAGUUAGAGGUGAAAGCCUGGAGCUCAACUCCAGAAUUGCCUUUAAGACUGCAUCGCUUGAAUCCAGGAGAGGUGAGUGGAAUUCCGAGUGUAGAGGUGAAAUUCGUAGAUAUUCGGAAGAACACCAGUGGCGAAGGCGGCUCACUGGACUGGUAUUGACGCUGAGGUGCGAAAGCGUGGGGAGCAAACAGGAUUAGAUACCCCGGUAGUCCCUGUCUCUUAUAC
rnacentral:rRNA from 1 species